UUACGGCCGCACCUGGUUGAAACACCAGUUCCCGUGCGAUCACCGAAGUUAAGCAAGAUCGAGCCCGGUCAGUACCUAGAUGAGUGACCACUUGGGAAUAUCAGGUGUUGUAAG